rnacentral:rRNA from 1 species
UACGGGGGGGGCAAGCGUUGUCCGGAAUUACUGGGCGUAAAGAGCUCGUAGGUGGUUUGUCGCGUUGUUCGUGAAAACUCACAGCUCAACUGUGGGCGUGCGGGCGAUACGGGCAGACUAGAGUACUGCAGGGGAGACUGGAAUUCCUGGUGUAGCGGUGGAAUGCGCAGAUAUCAGGAGGAACACCGGUGGCGAAGGCGGGUCUCUGGGCCACUACUGACGCUGAGAAGCGAAAGCAUGGGGAGCGAACAGG